rnacentral:rRNA from 1 species
AUUGAACGCUGGCGGCAGGCCUAACACAUGCAAGUCGAGGGGUAGCAGGAUUAAGCUUGCUUAAUUGCUGACGACCGGCGCACGGGUGCGUAACGCGUAUGCAACCUACCUUAUACUGGGGUAUAGCCCGGAGAAAUUCGGAUUAAUCCCCCAUAGUACUAAUGAAUCGCAUGGUUUAUUAGUUAAAGCAUUGCGGUAUAAGAUGGGCAUGCGUCCUAUUAGCUAGAUGGUGAGGUAACGGCUCACCAUUGCUACGAUAGGUAGGGGGCCUGAGAAGGUGGUCCCCCACACUGGUACUGAGACACGGACCAGACUCCGACGGGAGGCAGCAGUGAGGAAUAUUGGUCAAUGGGCGCAAGCCUGAACCAGCCAUGCCGCGUGCAGGAAGAAUGCCCUAUGGGUUGUAAACUGCUUUUAUUUGGGAAUAAACCUCUUUACGUGUAGAGAGCUGAAGGUACCAAAUGAAUAAGCACCGGCUAACUCCGUGCCAGCAGCCGCAGUAA